UGCGGCUGCAAGGUCGGCGAUAACCUCGGGGGGGGCAGCCCUGGCCCUGGUGGGGUGCUCAGCCCCGGGAACAGCCCGUGCCGAGCCGUGCUGAGCCACAGAUGGCUGCGCCACGCACGUGUUUUUGGCUCAGGGCCGUGGGAGGGGAUAUAAGCGGCGGUGCCGUGGGCGCAGCCACCCCCGUGCCAGCCCGCGGUGGUGCCGUGCCGCCGCGUGCCAUGCGCCGCUGGGUGCUGGCGGCCCUCGCCCUGCUGGCAGCCACCCCCAGGUGCCACCGAGGAGCCGGCGCUGAGGCUGUGUGGGCGCGAGUUCGUCCGCACCCUCGUGGCCCUGUGCGGGGGCACCCGCUGGAGCCGCCCCCCCCGGGCAGCCUUGGCCGACUUCUUUGGGCGCCUCGAUGGCCACGGCCCCCCCAGCCUGGCCCCCCCCGGCCCCGCUGGCUCCUGCUGCUCCCGUGGCUGCACCCAGCAGGAGCUGCUGCCCUUCUGCUAGCGCCCGCGCCCAGGGGAGUCUCUGGUGGCUCGUCAGAGGGUUGAGCUCGCUGCUGUACGGGGGGGGGACGUGGGCGCACGUCCCCUCUUCCUCUGCAUCCCCCCCAUGUGGGCUCUUCUCGACAGCUUCCAGAUUUACCCAAAUUUAUUAGAAACGGACCAAAUCCUGCUGCGCUGGGCGCGGGGAGAGGCAGGAGGUGAAUGCCAAGCGGCGGCACCGCAGCCAUUAAAGCCCCAGUCGAAGCAUC